rnacentral:piRNA from 1 species
GAGACCUUGACAUUGCACAGACGGA